rnacentral:rRNA from 1 species
CGGGGUGAGCAACACGUAGAGAACCUACCUUACACAGGGGGACAACGGCUGGAAACGGCUGCUAAUACCGCAUAAGCACCCAGUUUCGCAUGAAACAGAGUGAAAAGAGUAAAUCGGUGUAAGAUGGCUCUGCGUCUGAUUAGCUAGUUGGUGGGGUAAAGGCUCACCAAGGCGACGAUCAGUGGCCGGCCUGAGAGGGCGACCGGCCACAUUGGGACUGAGACACGGCCCAGACUCCUACGGAAGGCAGCAG